rnacentral:rRNA from 1 species
AACGAACGCUGGCGGCAGGCCUAACACAUGCAAGUCGAGCGCGCCCUUCGGGGUGAGCGGCGGACGGGUGAGUAACGCGUGGGAACGUGCCCUUUUCUACGGAAUAGCCUCGGGAAACUGAGAGUAAUACCGUAUACGCCCUUUGGGGGAAAGAUUUAUCGGAAAAGGAUCGGCCCGCGUUGGAUUAGGUAGUUGGUGGGGUAAUGGCCUACCAAGCCGACGAUCCAUAGCUGGUUUGAGAGGAUGAUCAGCCACACUGGGACUGAGACACGGCCCAGACUCCUGCGGGAGGCAGCAGUGGGGAAUCUUAGACAAUGGGGGCAACCCUGAUCUAGCCAUGCCGCGUGAGUGAUGAAGGCCUUAGGGUUGUAAAGCUCUUUCAGCUGGGAAGAUAAUGACGGUACCAGCAGAAGAAGCCCCGGCUAACUCCGUG